rnacentral:rRNA from 1 species
GUCUUGAAACACGGACCAAGAAGUCUAGCAUGUGCGCGAAUCUUGGGAAAAACUAAACCUAAAGGCGCAAUGAAAGUGAAAGUCCGCCUCGCGCGGACCGAGGGAAGAUGGGCGGAGGGGCCUAACACGCCCGCCGUUCCGCACUCCCGGGGCGUCUCGUUCUCAUUGCGAGAAGAGGCGCACCAAAAGCGUACACGCUGGGACCCGAAAGAUGGUGAACUAUGCCUGGUCAGGACGAAGUCAGGGGAAACCCUGAUGGAGGUCCGUAGCGAUUCUGACGUGCAAAUCGAUCGUCGGAACUGGGUAUAGGGGCGAAAGACUAAUCGAACCAUCUAGUAGCUGGUUCCCUCCGAAGUUUCCCUCAGGAUAGCUGGCGCUCGUCGCAUACGAGUCUCAUCCGGUAAAGCGAAUGAUUAGAGGCAUUGGGGUCGAAACGGCCUCAACCUAUUCUCAAACUUUAAAUGGGUGAGAUCUCCGGCUUGCUCGAACCACUGAAGCCGCGAGAAACGGAUCAGAGUGCCAAGUGGGCCAUUCUUGGUAAGCAGAACUGGCGCUGUGGGAUGAACCAAACGUCGAGUUAAAGCGCCUAAAUCGACGCUUAUGGGAUACCAUGAAAGGCGUUGGUAACUUAAGACAGCAGGACGGUGGCCAUGGAAGUCGGAAUCCGCUAAGGAGUGUGUU